UUUCACAGAUUAAGGCUCCAGUACACAAUGGCCUGUGACGGGCCACGCUUCGCAAUGCACAACUGUAGGCCACGAUCACUUGGUGUUCACACAAUGGCACAUGGCUCAUUGCUGCCUGGCAAACCACUUGCGAUGGAUGCAAAAGUAAUUACUACCGGUCAACGGUCGAUUACGUUUACGAACUAAACAAUGGCCGAUUGUGUGAACACUACAGGCCACGCUACGCCACGAUUUCUUUGAAGUGUGCCCAAAAAACCGACAACUCCCUGACUGCGCGCCACGGUU